CCUACGGGAGGCAGCAGUGGGGGAUAUUGCACAAUGGGGGAAACCCUGAUGCAGCGACGCCGCGUGUGGGAAGACGGUCUUCUGGAUUGUAAACCACUUUCCCCAGGGACGAAAAUGACGGUACCUGGGGAGGAAGCUACGGCAAACUACGUGCCAGCAGCCGCGGUAAUACGUAGGGAGCAAGCGUUGUCCGGAAUUACUGGGUGUAAAGGGAGCGUAGGCGGGGAUGCAAGUUGGGUGUCAAAACUACCGGCUCAACCGAUAGUCGCACUCAAAACUGCAGCUCUUGAGUGAAGUAGAGGCAGGCGGAAUGCCUGGUGUAGCGGUGAAAUGCGUAGAUAUUAGGAGGAACACCAGUGGCGAAGGCGGCGUGCUGGGCUUUUACUGACGCUGAGGCUCGAAAGUGUGGGGAGCAAACAGGAUUAGAUACCCGGGUAGUC
rnacentral:rRNA from 1 species